GACGAACGCUGGCGGCGUGCCUAAUACAUGCAAGUAGGACGCAGUUGCGAACGGGUGAGUAACGCGUAGGUAACUGCCUAUUAGAGGGGGAUAACUAUUGGAAACGAUAGCUAAUACCGCAUACUAGUAGAUGGACCUGCGUUGUAUUAGCUAGUAGGUAGGGUAAUGGCCUCCCUAGGCGACGAUACAUCGCCGCGCUGGGAGGGUGAUCGGCCACACUGGGACUGGGACACGGGCCAGACUCCUACGGGAGGCAGCAGGAGGGGAUCUUCGGAAAUGGGGGGAAACCUGACCGAGCAAAGCCGCGGGAGGGAAGAAGGGUUUCGGAUCGUAAAGCUCUGUUGUUAAGGAAGCGGUACUUAACCAGAAAGGGCCGGCUAACUACGUGCCAGCAGCCGCGGUAAUAC
rnacentral:rRNA from 1 species